UCCCUCGUUGUCUAAUGGGUAGGGUACUCCGUUCUUAUGAGCAUGCAAUGGAGAGGUCCGGGUUCGACUCCCGGCGAAGGAA